AGAUCACCAAUUCAAAUGGCUGAAAACACUUAUCCAGAUUAAUUAAGUCUUCUUCUAAUACAAGGAAAGAAAAAUAGGUCCAGCCGAGCAAUGUUGUAUUACGAAGGAAAGCAUGAGAGACACGCACAAAGAGCGCUUCAGCUGAAAUACAAAAGAGCGCCGAAAAGUUCAAAAGAUUAAGCCGAAAUCAUCUCCGCUUAAAUAAUCCGCUUGGUACCUACACCCUAAGCGCACACACAAUACAUGGAAGUGAAACUGAAAAUUGAACAGGAACUUAGGAUAGGAGACUAAUAUUGAAAUGUUUAAUGAAUGGUAAUGAGCUACAACCGAUUGGAUAUGCAUUAACUGCUGUUGUGGUUUGGGCUCCCACCCACCUCGAUAAGUAGAUAUCUGCGAAUGUGAUGUUGAAACAAUAUAUUUUUUGUCGAUUGAAAUUAAGAAAUAACAUUUCAGAUAUGUUUGGUUGCAGCAAUCAAGCUGGCAGUAUGUUUCAUCAAAUUUAUUUUCAUUACAAUUGAAUGCGUCAACAUGGUUUAAUAUUCUUUAGUAGUACGUACGUGUUUCGUUAAUGUGUUUAACCACUCCUUGAACAUGCUUCAAGCCAAAUCUUAUAAUCUGCACAUCCUCCUGAUAUCUGUAUGUAUACUAUACCGUUACUGUUAUCUAGCAGUUAUUAUAUUAACUUUAAUAGAAGGGGAUUUUAGACAGUUUUUUUAAUAUUCAUUUAGUCAGUUGAAGGCUGUCUACUGCCAUUCACGAUAAGGUGAAAUAAAUGAUUGAAGGUUGUUAUGCGAGUGAGAAUGCCGGCAUCGUUUACGAAAAACAGUUAUUUGAAUAAAACUGGUAUUGACUUGUCGAGAAAACAGCUUGGCUUCAAAAUUUUCAAACAUUUUCUUAUAUAACUUCUCAUGCAAGUAAUCGAAUAGGGAAAUGGUUUGGGAUCGCGUUUUGCUCAAUAACGUGCACUGUCGAGGAAUCUGUUCACACCCUUUUAUCUACAGUUGAAAGCGGUUAUGUUAUCAAAACAUGAUUUUAACUUAAGGCCAUCUGGAAAAAUGCAGUUGAAAUGGAACCAACUUUUUUACGCUUGCAUAUUUUCAAUUUUUUUUUGUUCUAACUUAUGCGACUAACGCAGGCGUGAGAAUUUCUCAUCGCAGCUGUGAGUAAGGUAUAUUAAAAAAAACAUUACACGAUCACUGGCCUAACAGUAAACUAUAUCGAAUAUCUGUAGUCGACUGGUGAAAAAAAUAAAACAUUUUAUUCGCAAAACGAAAGAAAUAGCAAAUGAACAGUGCUUAAGGUCAUAAAAUAUCCCUUCACUAAAUAAAAUCGUUUCGAAGUAGGAGACCUACAAGUUUAUCCUAAACUAAUUAUACCUUGGUAGUUUUGUUGAUACAAAGCUAGAUAGAUAAAACAAAAUGGCUUAAGUCAAUUUCAAAAUAAAGAAUUCAGCUACCUUUGAUUCAAGUGAAUUAUUUUCAAUUAAAUUUCAGCAGAUUGAUUCCUUUCUAUCCAGUAAUUUCACCCUAGUUGUUGAAGGUGUCAUAAAACAUUGCUUUUGGAUAAUAUACCAAGAAAAAUAUUUUUGGGCUCAGGAUAAUGGUCGUACUCUUUACUUAAACAAGUUUUCUAUCUUUUGCGCAUUUAAAUUUUUCUCCGAGAUUUUUUUUUCCAUUUACAAAGCUUUAUACGGCGGUACGAAUUUUCAUUGUACAAAAAACAUGUUACAUGUGCAACAUGUGCAAAGUGUUCUACAUAUACAGAUGUAUCUUUUUUCUAGUAUUUGAAAUUGUUAGCACGUGUUUUUGCAGGUCUUCUAAAAUGCUGGCGGCAAUAUUUUUUUAUAAGAUUCAAUCAAUAAUUCAUAUCAUGUAGUGAAAACGCUUAAUCUAAGACUGUACAUCAGGACUAGAAGCAUUUGAUAAAGCUUUCUGCUGAAAGUUAAUUGUGACAGAGUUUAUUUUUAUCUUAUCUUAACUUAAAAGUCUUAACAAAAUGCGUUUAUACAUACCAAGAGCUCUGGAAAGUUAAAUCUAUAUA